ensembl:lncRNA
GGCUGUCAUGCCCCUAUGACACGGCUGUGGGUCUGUGGGCUCCCAGUCUGUUACUAGAAGGGGCAGGUGGGUGAAUGACAAGGUGCGGAUUGGGAGAAUCAUUGGGGGCUCUAGGGGUGGGGCAUCUGACAGGAAGCUCUGAAAGCAGGGGUCCAGCUGGCAGGCUGCUGCCCACACCAGGGGAGAGGAGGGCUGGCCUCCUAUUCUCCAGGCAGGCAUCUGGAUGCCAGCCAGGCUGUGCCAAGAGCACUGGUAACACUGCGCUGCUCAGAGUCGGGCACUUUACCCCAGCCCCACUUGGCAGCAGGUGAGGAUGGAAGUGAGUGGGGGCGGUGUGGCAGAGGGCAGUCAGACAGAGUUCCCCCUUGGUGACCUGCUUGUGGGUGGCCACUUCCUAUGGUACCUGAUAUCCUCUGGGCUGGGUGGCCCUUGGCUGGGAGGACAGCAGGGUUGCAAAGGUCUCUGUCUGCCUUCACGUGUCCUGUCUGCCAGAAACUUCUGACAACUCCCAGAUAGGGCUUUUGGCCCAUGGAGGCAAGACAGAGUUCUGACUGUAGCCAUGGGUCCCAGUGUUGUUUCCUUUGGGAAGUUGUACUGGGGAUGUCAGACACAGAAGCUGUGUGCUGGCAUAACUUCCUCUCCAUCCCUUCCACCAGGUCACAGUGGGGACUGACUCCAGCAAGAAAGGGCUGGCUGGUGCAGAUCCAGGCCUGCAGAUCCAGAAUUGGAGAUGCGGAGGCCUCGAGCUGGAGGAAUUGGAGAUGCGGAGGCCUCGAGCUGGAGGAAUUGGAGAUGUGCGGAGGCCUCGAACUGGAAGCAGCAGGAGCAGAGGUGUGAAGUUCCAGAGUAGAGAGAGGAGGGGCCAUGACAAGCUAUGAGUGAACCACAAGGAGGCAGGAGCCAUGAGAAAAAAGGGCAGAGAGUAGGGAGGGGAGGAAUAAAAUGAGGGGGAGCCAGAGUCGAGUAGGGAGAGCUCAGCUUGCCCAAGUGGGGCAGAAGAAGGGACACUGACCACCCCCAGAGGUCCCUCAAAGCUAACCCCAUCCCCACAGGCAGGACUCCGCCAUAUGUGAGCUUCCCCAUUAUCCUCGUGUGUUUUCUCAACAAAUCCCCAUCACCCCGGGACCAGCAGAGCCAAAGCAGGUGUGUUGGGGUUAGCUUUCCGCCUUCAGAUCCCGGGCCCUGCCUGUGUCUGCACAGGUUGGGACACCCCAUCCUCCAGCUCCAUUUAUGCCUCAGUCCCAGACUUCAGGGAUUGAAGGACCCUUGGUGGCCUCUAGGACAGCACUUCCCAGGUGUGGGCCAUGAGAGGAUUUUAGGGGGCAAAGAGAAGCUUUUCUUUAAACAUUUAAAAUGUAUGCAUUGGCUGGGCGCAAAGGCUCAUGCCUGUAAUCCCAGAACUUUGGGAGGCCGAGGUGGGCAGAUCACAAGGUCAAGAGAUCAAGACCAACCUAACCAACAUAGUGAAACCCUGUCUCUACUAAAAACACAAAAAUUAGCUGGGUGUGAUGGUGGGCGCCUGUAGUCCCAGGUACUUGGGAGGCUAAGGCAGGAGAAUCACUUGAACCCGGAAGGCGGAGCUUGCAGUGAGCCGAGAGCACGCCACUGCACUCCAGCCUGACGACAGAGUAACACUCCAUCUCAAAAAAAAAAAAAAA